CUCCGAAAACCCAAUGUGAACCAUACCAAACUGUUGCCUCGGCGGGGUCACGCCCCGGGUGCGUYKCAGCCCCGGAACCAGGCGCCCGCCGGAGGGACCAACCAAACUCUUUUCUGUAGUCCCCUCGCGGACGUUAUUUCUUACAGCUCUGAGCAAAAAUUCAAAAUGAAUCAAAACUUUCAACAACGGAUCUCUUGGUUCUGGCAUCGAUGAAGAACGCAGCGAAAUGCGAUAAGUAAUGUGAAUUGCAGAAUUCAGUGAAUCAUCGAAUCUUUGAACGCACAUUGCGCCCGCCAGUAUUCUGGCGGGCAUGCCUGUCCGAGCGUCAUUUCAACCCUCGAACCCCUCCGGGGGGUCGGCGUUGGGGAUCGGGAACCCCUAAGACGGGAUCCCGGCCCCGAAAUACAGUGGCGGUCUCGCCGCAGCCUCUCCUGCGCAGUAGUUUGCACAACUCGCACCGGGAGCGCGGCGCGUCCACGUCCGUAAAACACCCAACUUCUGAAAUGUUGACCUCGGAUCAGGUAGGAAUACCCGCUGAACUUAAGCAUAUCAAUAAGGCGRARAAA
rnacentral:rRNA from 1 species